GAUGAACGCUGGCGGCGUGCCUAAUACAUGCCAGUCGAGCGAACAGACGAGGAGCUUGCUCCUCUGACGUUAGCGGCGGACGGGUGAGUAACACGUGGAUAACCUACCUAUAAGACUGGGAUAACUUCGUGAAACCGGAGCUAAUACCGGAUAAUAUAUUGAACCGCAUGGUUCAAUAGUGAAAGACGGUUUUGCUGUCACUUAUAGAUGGAUCCGCGCCGGAUUAGCUAGUUGGUAAGGUAACGGCUUACCAAGGCAACGAUGCGUAGCCGACCUGAGAGGAUGAUCGGCCACACUGGAACUGAGACACGGUCCAGACUCCUACGGGAGGCAGCAGUAGGGAAUAUUCCGCAAUGGGCGAAAGCCUGACGGAGCAACGCCGCGUGAGUGAUGAAGGUCUUCGGAUCGUAAAACUCUGUUAUUAGGGAAGAACAAAUGUGUAAGUAACUAUGCACGUCUUGACGGUACCUAAUCAGAAAGCCACGGCUAACUACGUG
rnacentral:rRNA from 1 species